rnacentral:rRNA from 1 species
CCUACGGGGGGCUGCAGUGGGGAAUAUUGGACAAUGGGGGGAACCCUGAUCCAGCCAUGCCGCGUGUGUGAAGAAGGCCCUCGGGUUGUAAAGCACUUUCAGUGAGGAAGAACGCCUGGUGGUUAAUACCCAUCAGGAAAGACAUCACUCACAGAGGAAGCACCGGCUAACUCCGUGCCAGCAGCCGCGGUAAUACGGAGGGUGCGAGCGUUAAUCGGAAUUACUGGGCGUAAAGCGCGCGUAGGUGGCUUGAUAAGCCGGUUGUGAAAGCCCCGGGCUCAACCUGGGAACGGCAUCCGGAACUGUCAAGCUAGAGUGCAGGAGAGGAAGGUAGAAUUCCCGGUGUAGCGGUGAAAUGCGUAGAGAUCGGGAGGAAUACCAGUGGCGAAGGCGGCCUUCUGGACUGACACUGACACUGAGGUGCGAAAGCGUGGGUAGCAAACAGGAUUAGAUACCCUGGUAGUC